CAAGACAAUUUACAGCCUGAGCACGCCUGAUGUCCUCUGAGAAGAUAAGCAGGCUCGGGCCUGGGUAGUAUUGGAURAGAGACCAACAGGGGAUAACAGGUGCUGUUUGGC
rnacentral:rRNA from 1 species